GAGAUAUUAGUAAAACAAUUACAUAACCUUGUCAAGGUUAAAUUAUAGAUUACACUCUAUAUAUCUUA
rnacentral:tRNA from 1 species